rnacentral:rRNA from 1 species
GAGUUUGAUCGUGGCUCAGAUUGAACGCUGGCGGCAGGCCUAACACAUGCAAGUCGAGCGGAUGAAGGGAGCUUGCUCCUGGAUUCAGCGGCGGACGGGUGAGUAAUGCCUAGGAAUCUGCCUGGUAGUGGGGAUAACGUCCGGAAACGGGCGCUAAUACCGCAUACGUCCUGAGGGAGAAAGUGGGGGAUCUUCGGACCUCACGCUACUCAGAUGACGCC